UUUUUUUUUUAGGGCUGCACCCACGUCUGUGACCUACACCACAGCUCACAGCAACGCUGGAUCCUUCACCCACUAAGUGAGGCCAGGGAUCCAACCCGAAACCUCACGGUUCCGAGUCAGACUCAUUUCCGCUGCGCCACGAUGGGAACUCCCACUCUGGUCAAUCUUGAUUCCUCCCCUCCCAAGGAGGAGCGCUCAGCCUCCUCUCCAGGACCAUUAGGCCCUGGGGGUUGUGAGGAAAAUCUCAAAAAUCCAGCUUGUUUUUUGUUCAUCCUUAUCCACGUGUUGACCUAAGGAAUUCAGGAUAUCUCAGAGAGCAAAAAUUUUCCAAAUAUGUCACUGUCUGACUAUUCUGAUGAGGCUGUAUAAAUACGGUGUUACCUUCGGACCCAAAUUUCCCUCCACAUGGAUGUCUUAAUGAAGGACCACCAGGAGGAGGCAAAGGCAUCAGGAACCCAUUCUGCAGAUGGAAGACCUCACGAUCUUCUCCAAGAUCCCCAGAGCCCAUGAACUCAUAUAAGUUGUCACGUAUCUGCAAGAGGAGGUCCCUGGCUCCCAGGGGUCCCUUCUCCAAAAGUGAAUAUUCUCUUUUUAUUCUUGUGGUGGAAGCAGCGUCCGCAUAGGACUUCUCUACUCUGAGUUUCUAGAAGCAAGAGAGUUGACCCACCUCAAUGUAGUCACAAGAUCUGUAGGAGAGUCCAUUACGGAUUGUGAGCUGGUACAUAGCAACAUUACAACAGCCAAAACAACCAACUCAAAUGCCCAUCAGUGCAUAAACAGAUAAACAACAUGAAUGCAGAAAAAGGAAUGAAGUACUGACACGCUCCAACAUGGGUGAACCCUGAGGACAUUAUGCGAAGUCAAAGAAGCCAGACACAAAAGACCACAUAUUAUAUGAUUCCACUUAGAUGAAAUGUCCAGAGCAGGCCAAUUUCUAGAGUUAGAGAGUAGAUUAAUGGUUGCUUAGGGCUGGUGGGGACAGUUGGGAGAAAUGGUGCCAUGGCUGCUAAUGGGUAGGGGGGUUCUUUUUGGGGUGAAAAUGUUCUAAUAUUGAUUGUGGUGAUGGUUGCACAACUCGGUGAAUAUACUAAAAACUAUUGAAUUGCACACUUUAAAUAUGACUUGUAUACCAAUAAAGUUGUUAAAAAGAAUAGAUCUAGAAAAGAGUUGGGGGGGUGAGGAAAAAAGAAUUGCUUUUGCUAUCUAAGUGUUUUCCCAUGUUAUCUAGUCCUGCAAACAGUCACCUUGCAGGAGAAGAAGAAAGCUCUUAACAGUGGGUUUAAGACAAAUGUCUGAUCAUUAACCCUUCCUCCCCCACCUCAGCAGAGAAUAGUCAGAUAUCAGAGUAGGCUGUAGCUGGGUAGCCUUUAAGACUCACUUUUGCAAACUCUGAGCUUCUCUAUUUCCUUCUUUCUUCUUCUCCUUAGGGACUCAACUGUCAUAUGGGGAGACCAAGUGGACCAGAGCUUGGCUUACAGAACUGGGACAACCAGUCUGUCUGGAAAGUUCCUUGGGUGCAGCACUGAUUCUGGGGACUUCAAGUGCAUGUUGAAUCAUGUGCUUGUCAAAUUCAAGGUUGCCCUGCAGCUUUUCUCUCUGCAGGAUGCUGGUCCCUUCCUGGAGAAAGCUUGUGGUCAAGAAGGGAGAUUGGCCAAUUUGUGUCAAGAAAGAGCUCAGGGAUGCAGGUCAAGUUCCUGCUUUCUUCUCGAUGAGGUAUUCAACUUGAGGCUGGCCAAGGGAUGUCAGCUAUGGAGGUAUGGCCCUAACCUUUUCACGUAUGCCACCAAAUUCAACAUGUAAAACAAACAACCGAUGCCAUUCUCUGUCAAACUGCACACUGAGAUUGUACCCCUCAAAGCAACGUGGGUCCAAUUUACUCUAAGAGCUACAAGACAUAGGGUAAGGCCACACUCAAGCCAUUGCCAAAGGAAGCAACAGAGUCUGCUGGAGUAUUCCAGAACUUUGCCUUGAUUAAGACAGAUGUAGUGGGGCAGAAACAGCUGGAUACAUAUACUCAUGCGGGGCAAACCAGGGUUAACCAUUAGUACUUUAGCUCCUGAAGACAGUGUCACAGUAUGGUUGUCAGGGUAAUAAAUGCUGGCUGGUUUCACAUUACUUUGAGUCUCUUGAUCCACUCAAAUAUGCCACCAAAAAUUCUAGUUUUGACAAAGCCGAGAGCCACAGAUUACCUACUUAUUCCCUAAAGUCCCCCUCUGAUUAAGAUCAUCAGGUAAAAUACUGGACCCCCAGUUAAAUUUGAAUUUGAGAGAAACAAGUAGAUUUUUAGUGUGAGCAUGCCCCAUGUAAUAAUGUUUAUGUGAAAUUCAAAUUUAAUUGGGAUUUUUUUUUUUUCAGGACUGCACCCUCGACAUAUGGAGGUUCCCAGGCUAGGGGCUGGAUUGGAGCUGUAGCCACUGGCCUAUGCCACAGCAACGCAGGAUGCAAAAUCACGGCAACACUGGGUCCUUAACCCACCGAGCGAGCCACGACAGGAACGCCUUCGCUGGAAAACUUGAGAUGUUUUACGGACAUAGUCUCAUCCUCAGCAUAUCCACUGAGGCCAUCUCUGUGUUCUUUAGUUUUACAGAGAGGGCUGAAAGCUAGAGGUGCUUCCCUGUCUCCAAUUCAGUUUCUGUGGUUCUGUGAUUUCAUAACAGAUACCCAUUAUGAGAUGGUAUAGAAACGCCAUUGGCACUUUAGCCCAGGUGAAAAUUCUGAAGCUCAGUUUGUUCUUUGAAUAGGUUUUAGAAUAAACUGGAGGGUGAGAGAGAGUUUGGGGAUGGAAAUUUAAUUUCAAAUACUCUCCAAAUUGACAAGGCGUCUCUAUAGUUACCACAGUAAUAAUGAUGAAAACAAAUACCUGCAAUUUCUGGAGGAUCUCUUAUUGGCCAGACAUUGAUCAGGAUGCUUCACACAUAUUAUCCUUUUGAACUCAGAGCAACCCAGGUGGCCAGGGACUACAUCCCCAUAUCACACACGAGCAGACUGAAGCGCAGGAUUUGCCGCUCCUAAGAGGACACAGGUGGUGAGCGGCAUGGCUGUUUUUCACACCCAGCUUUGUCUGACUGCAAAGCCUUUGCUCUUCCUGCUCUGAUAUCCUGCCAAGACUGCAAUGCAUAGUUCUGCAGAUUUCUUUCUCCUCUGGGCUCGGGCUUGUGAUGGAGAGUCCUCUGCCAAGUCACUCACAUGUCAAUGACACUUCAUUGCCAGUCUCAGCCACCCAGCAUUAUAAGGCCCUUGAAACCAGACUUUAAAAAAUAUUCACUUCCUUUUGGCUGUCUCAAGAAGUCAAAAAGCAGUUUCCAUUUCUUAAGACACUUACCUCUGGGUAGCUCACCUCGGGGGGGGGGGGGGGCUUACUGGGGCUUUGGUGAUGAUAUUAAAUCCUCUCUAAGGCUCUAUGGAGCCCUCCUUGGAAGGAGGAAUAGGAAAACAAACCACGAUUUGUGAAAGGAAUAGAGGAGCUAUACCGACCCAGAAACCGUCUUUCAGAACCAAUCCAUUGCUCAUGUUUUAAGGUCCCUCACGCUAUCACCUCCUCCGGGAAACCUUCGGGGACCCACUCCCUCGACUUUGGCCCUGGCUCUGUUCUCCUUCUCACACUCCGCGGUUAGACAUUUUGUGGGAGUGUGUGCACUCACACCUCUUUCUUGAGACAGCGAGCUCCCUGGGCGGAGCAGAGUGGGUCCAGACUGGCUCAGCUUCUGCACUGAGUCUGGAGUAUCCAAAAGGAUGGGGUCCCGGGGAGCAGAGUAGGCAGUGUGUU
rnacentral:lncRNA from 1 species